UAAAGGCAUACGGUGGAUGCCUUGGUCGAAAGUACCGAUGAAGGACGUACUAGGCGACGAUACUCUGCGGGGAGCUGCCAAGAAGCUUUGAUCCGCAGGUUUCCGAAUGGGAUAACCCCUCGCCUCGGCGAGACCCUAACAUAAAUUCAUAGUGUUAGGGAGGGCACGCGCUGAACUGAAACAUCUAAGUAAGCGCAGGAAAAGAAAUCAAAAGAGAUUCCCUUAGUAGCGGCGAGCGAAAAGGGAAGAGCCUAAACUUCGAUGAUCCCGCAAGGGGCUAUCGGAGGGUUGUGAGGCGGCAGUAGCGAGUAGCAAGGAUAGCUGAAGUCGCUGGAAAGCGGCGCCAAAGAGAGUGAUAGUCUCGUAAGCGAAAUCCAAGCUGCCGUGGCCGGUUCCUCAAGUAGCCCAGGACACGUGUAAUCCUGGGUGAAUCUAGGGAGACCACUCUCUAAGGCUAAAUAUACUUUCGGACCGAUAGUGAACUAGUACCGUGAGGGAAAGGUGAAAAGAAGAGCGGAACGCUCAGUGAAAUAGUACCUGAAACCGUAUGUUGUCAAGCUGUGGAAGUCCGAUGUAACAUCGGACAACCGCGUGCCUAUUGAAGAAUGAACCGGUGAGUUGUCUCAUCCGCCAAGUCUAAGUCGUUAAGGCGAAUUAGGCGUAGUGAAAGCGAGCGUUAAAUGCGCGACUAAGGCGGUUGUGGCAGACCCGAAACCGAGUGAGCUAACCAUGUCCAGGGUGAACGGUCGAGAAAUCGACCGGAAGGCCCGAACUCGUAACAGUGGCAAUUGUUUGGGAUGAGGUGUGGUUAGAGAUGAUAUGUCAAUCGAACUCGGAUAUAGCUGGUUCUCCCCGAAAUAUAUUGAAGUAUAGCCCUGUGAACCCUGAGUUUAUCGAAGGGUGUAAUCUUACGGGGGGUAGAGCUCUGGAUGGAUUUGGGUGGCGCAAGCUAUCCAAUCCAAUCAAACUGCGAAUACCUGUAAGUGUAACAGGAGUCAGACCGAUCCGGCUAAGCGGAGCGGUCCUAAGGGAAACAGCCCAGACCGACAGCUAAGGUCCCUAAAUACAGACUAAGUGUAAAAGGAGGUCAAAUUCCUUAGACAGCCAGGAGGUUGGCUUAGAAGCAGCCAUCCUUUAAAGAAAGCGUAACAGCUCGCUGGUCUACUAUGGGAUUUGGCGCCGACAACGAAUCGGGGCUCAAGUCUGUUACCGAAGCUACGGAUUCCGCCGAAAGGCGAGAGUGGUAGGGGAGCGUUCUAUACGCAGUGAAGCUGCAUUGUGAAGUGUGGUGGAGUGUAUAGAAGUGAGAAUGCCGGUAUGAGUAGCGAAAGUCCGAUGAAAAAUCGGACCGCCGAAAGCCCAAGGUUUUCUCCGCCAUGUUAAUCAGCGGAGAGUUAGUCGGCACCUAAGGCGAGGCCAAAUGGCGUAGCUGAUGGACGAUCUGUCAAAAUUCAGAUACUGAAGCUUCUUGUUUGAAAGCUUUGCGGAUGGACAGAAUGGGAAUAGUCUAGCCCUCUAUAUGGGGGUUUAAGUAUCAAACUAGUGGAAGUAGGAAAAUCCGCUUCGCAGGGAAACCUGCAGUUGGUUACUUCUCCGAUGUUAUGUCGGAGAUUUACAACCAAUCACUAUAAUGUGAGUUACGAAUACGUAAGUAGAUGAUUUUCUGUUUUCAAGAAAAGAUUCGCAAAGGGGGAAGUUUUAGCCGUACCAUAAACCGACACAGGUGGGCGAGUUGAGUAUACAAAGGCGAUCGGGAGAACUAUCCUUAAGGAACUCGGCAAUACAGCUGGACGUAAGUUAGCAAGAUGUCGCUGAGCGACUGUUUAACAAAAACACAGGUCCGUGCUAAAGCGAAAGCUGAUGUAUACGGGCUGACACCUGCCCAGUGCCAGUAAUUUAAUGUUUCAAGUGACUCUGAGAAGUAAUUCGAGGACGAGCCUGGGGCCUAAGAUCUGGUGAACGGCAGCAGUAACUAUAACUGUUCUAAGGUUUUGGAAUUUGCGAAGUUCCUUGUCUGGCGAGUUCAGACCCGCACGAAAGGUAGAACGACUUAGCGACUGUCUUGAGGAUAGACCCGGCGAAAUUGCAGUGGCUGUGAAGAUGCGGCCUUCCCAUACUUGGACAAAAAGACCCCGUGGUUUGGCGACAAUGAAACACCUCUCUUUUAAUUUUUUAAGUCUCUAGCCUCGCCCGUAAUCCGGGCGGGUAACAAGGUCUGGCGGGCAGUUUAACUGGGGCGGUUGCCUCCAAAAGAGUAACGGAGGCGUACAAAGGUACACUUAAGGCCAAUGGUAACGGCCUUUAAAGCGCAAAAGUAUAGAGUGUGCUUGACUGCGAGACCCACAAGUCGAGCAGGUGCGAAAGCAGGUUUUAGUGAUCCUUAGGUGGUUCGUGGGAGCGCCUAGGCUUAACGGAUAAAAGUUACCCCGGGGAUAGAACAGGCUAGUCUUACCCAACAGUCCACAAGGACGGUAAGGUUCGGCACCUCGAUGUCGGCUCAUCACAUCCUGCGGCUGAAGAAGGUCGCAAGGGUCGGGCUGUUCGCCCGUUAAAGUGGUACGCGAGCUGGGUUCAGAGCGUCGUGAGACAGCUCGGACUCUAUCCAGUAUGGGCGUUUGGAUACUUGAAGGGAGUUAUUUCUAGUACGAGAGGACCGAAAUGAGGAAACCUCUAGUGUGCCGGUUGUCACAAAAUGGCAGCGCCGGGUAGCUACGUUUCUAACUGAUAAGCGCUGAAAGCAUCUAAGCACGAAGCAGGCCCUAAGAUUAGGUAUCUUUUAAGACCCCUGGGAGACUACCAGGUCCCGUAAGGGAAUCCUGAAAGCAAUUGAAGGAUUGAUAGGAGUGCGGUGGAAGUGCAGCAAUGUAUUAAGCUUACACUUACUAAUGGUC
rnacentral:rRNA from 1 species